rnacentral:rRNA from 1 species
AUGCAUAAUGCCAAGCCGAUGAGUACUCCGUUAGCUGCACACUUCAAAUUAUCAUCAGCUUUAUGUCCUAAGUCAAGUGCAAAUAUGGAGUACAUGUCUAGAGUUCCCUAUUCAAGUGUAGUUGGUUCACUUAUGUAUGCCAUGGUUUGCUCUCGUCCUGAUUUAUCAUAUGCAUUGAGCGUUGUCAGUAGAUACAUGGCUAAUCCCGGAAAUAAGCAUUGGAAAGCAGUUCAAUGGAUUUUCAGAUACCUACGAGGUACCUCCAAUGCUUAUUUACAGUUUGGGGAAACUAGAGAUGGACUUGUUGGUUUUGUUGAUUCUGAUUUUUCUGGUGAUUUGGAUAAGAGAAGAUCGCUCACGGGUUAUGUUUUCACCAUUGUUGGUUGUGCUGUGAGUUGGAGAGAAACUUUGCAGUCUAUUGUGGCUUGUUCCACUACUGAUGCCGAGUAUAUGGCUAUUUCUGAGGCAUGCAAAGAAGCUAUCUAG